rnacentral:rRNA from 1 species
GGCUGCAACUCGCCUACAUGAAGUCGGAAUCGCUAGUAAUCGCGGAUCAGCAUGCCGCGGUGAAUACGUUCCCGGGCCUUGUACACACCGCCCGUCACACCAUGAGAGUUUGUAACACCCAAAGCCGGUGGGGUAACCUUUUGGAGCCAGCCGUCUAAGGUGGGACAGAUGAUUGGGGUGAAGUCGUAACAAGGUAGC